UAGGGAAUAUUGGACAAUGGGGGCAACCCUGAUCCAGCCAUGCCGCGUGAGUGAAGAAGGCCCUCGGGUUGUAAAGCUCUUUUGUCCGGAAAGAAAAGCUUCGGGUUAAUACCCCGGGGUUCUGACGGUACCGGAAGAAUAAGCACCGGCUAACUUCGUGCCAGCAGCCGCGGUAAUACGAAGGGUGCAAGCGUUACUCGGCAUUACUGGGCGUAAAGCGUGCGUAGGUGGUUGUUUAAGUCUGAUGUGAAAGCCCUGGGCUCAACCUGGGAAUGGCAUUGGAAACUGGGCAGCUAGAGUGCGGUAGAGGGUAGUGGAAUGCCCGGUGUAGCAGUGAAAUGCGUAGAGAUCGGGAGGAACAUCUGUGGCGAAGGCGACUGCCUGGACCAGCACUGACACUGAGGCACGAAAGCGUGGGGAGCAAACA
rnacentral:rRNA from 1 species